rnacentral:rRNA from 1 species
GAUGAACGCUGGCGGCGUGCUUAAUACAUGCAAGUCGAGCGAACAGGCCCCGUUGUGGGGUACCCGAGGGGCGAAGCGGUGAGUAACACAACAGUAGCCUACCCUUGAUAUUGGGAUAACUUCAGGAAACGAAAGCUGAUCCAAGAUCGGAUCUCCUACUGCAUGGCAGGGGUUGGAAAUGUUCGGCGGUUGUGGUUGGACUCGCGGCUUAUCAGCUUGUUGGUCGGGUAGUGGCUAACCAAGGCUUUGACGGGUAGCCGGCCUGGGAGGGUGACCGGCCACAUUGGGCCUGAGAUACGGCCCAGACGCCUACGGGAGGCAGCAGUGGGGAAUAUUGCACAAUGGCGGGAAGCCUGAUGCAGCAACGCCGCGUGCGGGAUGAUGGGCUUCGGGUUGUAAACCGCUUUCGCCUGUGACGAAGAGUGAGUGACGGUAAUGGGUAAAGAAGCACCGGCUAACUACGUG